CCUGGGCACACUGAAGACCUUCUGAGCCCCGCGCUGCAGCCUCAUGAAGAGCUGUGUUCUUCAUUCUGAGCAGGAGGAAUAUUAUGAUACAGCUUUAAACAAACACUGCAGCGUCUGAUGCCGUACCGUCCUGACUUCUGGUCAACGUCUGCUCCUCGCUGCAGCAACACAGGAAGUACGUCAUGGUGACCACUGACCACAGCCACUGCCAGAGCAUGUCGGCCGUCAGGGUCGCAGCAAGAAGGGUCUGCCCCCUAGUGGUCAACCAACCAACAAACAAACAAAAAUAAGUCAUACAGACACGAAGCUAACAGUCAACGUGACCUCACAACCGUCAUCUUCAAAAACAGCAGACACCAGCUGAGGGCGCCAAGAUACGAAACGUCAGACACUCCAGAUACACCAGGUCACAGGUUAAUGGGUGUCAAAGU